rnacentral:rRNA from 1 species
UACGGGGGGGGCAAGCGUUGUUCGGAAUUACUGGGCGUAAAGGGCUCGUAGGCGGCCAACUAAGUCCGACGUGAAAUCCCCAGGCUUAACCUGGGAACUGCGUCGGAUACUGGAUGGCUUGAAUCCGGGAGAGGGAUGCGGAAUUCCAGGUGUAGCGGUGAAAUGCGUAGAUAUCUGGAGGAACACCGGUGGCGAAGGCGGCAUCCUGGACCGGCAUUGACGCUGAGGAGCGAAAGCCAGGGGAGGCAAACGGG